CAGUCGCCACGGUAAUACAGAGGGUGCGAGCGUUAAUCGGAUUUACUGGGCGUAAAGCGUGCGCAGGCGGUUAUAUAAGACAGAUGUGAAAUCCCCGGGCUCAACCUGGGAACUGCAUUUGUGACUGUAUAGCUAGAGUACGGCAGAGGGGGAUGGAAUUCCGCGUGUAGCAGUGAAAUGCGUAGAUAUGCGGAGGAACACCGAUGGCGAAGGCAAUCCCCUGGGCCUGUACUGACGCUCAUGCACGAAAGCGUGGGGAGCAAACAGGAUUAGAUACCCCUGUAGUCCCUGUCUCUUAUAC
rnacentral:rRNA from 1 species